rnacentral:rRNA from 1 species
UACGUAGGAGGCAAGCGUUGUCCGGAUUUAUUGGGCGUAAAGAGCGCGCAGGCGGCACACCAAGUACGAAGUGAAAUCUCCCUGCUCAACGGGGAGGGUGCUUUGUAAACUGGUGAGCUAGAGGACGGUAGAGGGGGGUAGAAUUGCUGGUGUAGCGGUGAAAUGCGCAGAUAUCAGGAAGAACACCCGUGGCGAAGGCGGUUCUCUGGGACGGUACUGACGCUGAGACGCGAAAGCGUGGGGAGCGAACAGG